CAAGGCCCUGUCGUUCCAUCCUGCUCCUGCUGCCAAAGUCCUAAACUCUAGGGCAAAAUCCUGUACGCUCCUCUCCAGAGGGAGCAGGACGCACGGUAGCCAGGUAUAGUUCCAGCUGAAGGAGGAAACCCUGGCACCCAGCCGCCGAGCCGUCAAACUCCCGUGGGAGUGUCAGCCGAAGAGCCCCAGAGCCAGAUGUGGUCGCAGAAACAGGAGGUGCUGGAGAAGGGGCUGCUAGAGAUGAGGUGGGGAGGCCACUCCUCUCCCAUCGAUCCAUUCUCUCCAUCAUUUGGUCCAUAGCAGAACCAAUCCGGUGAAGCACGCUGGUAUGAUGGAGGACCCUCUCUUCCAUCGAUGGGAGAGGAGACGCUGCUGCUCCUGCUGAUUCCAUGGUGGUGCGGGAUUCUGUCACGUCUAAUCAAGAUGCACAGUAUCAUCAGCGUCCCUGUCGCCGUUUGGUGAAAGGAGAGAACUCAACUAAGGAAUCAUUGGGGCGCCAACUAAACAUCCACCAUUUCAACUAGAGGUCAAAUCAUUCAGGUAGCCUAGUGGUUAGAGCAUUGGACUAAUAACCGAAAGGUUGCCGGAUCAAAUCCCUGAGCUGACAAGGUUCAUAGUCUGCAACUGUGAGAGCAGGCCCCCCACUUAGUGUAUUUGUCAAGCUGAGUUGGACACUCAGUAUUACAGGGUGUCAGUUUGUCAAAUACCCCAAGUGAGGGGUCACUUGUCUGCUGAGCAUCUCCCAUCAGACUAACUUCAAAGAAGAACACUUCAUUAACCUCCAAGUGACUUUCACUGUUAAGACUUUCUCAGAGGCAAAACAUUUGGAUUAUGUGAAAAUUAUUAUCUCCAUCUACUAUGAGUGAUUAUGUGCAAUUGUCUCAUGUAUUUUGUGUAAGUUUGUAUGAUGGAACUUAGUACACUGUGUAACAAAUGUGUGUCUCUGUAUUAAAUACUGCAUUAAAU
ensembl:lncRNA